rnacentral:rRNA from 1 species
GUGUCGUUGAGAUGUCGGUUAAGUCCGCUAACGAGCGCAACCCUCGCUGUGUGUUAUAUGUGUCACACGGGACUGCCGGUCUUAAGCCGGAGGAAGGUGGGGAUGAUGUCAAGUCAGCAUGGCCUUUAUAUCCUGGGCUACACACACGCUACAAUGGCCAACACAAUAGGUUGCUAAGCCGCGGGUGGCGCCAAUCCAUAAAGUUGGUCUCAGUUCAGAUUGUAGGCUGCAACCCGCCUGCAUGAAGAUGGAGUUGCUAGUAACCGCAGGUCAGCUAUACUGCGGUGAAUACGUUCCCGGGGCUU